rnacentral:lncRNA from 1 species
AACGAAACACACAACGAAACUGAACUGAAAUCCCUUUUUGUUAAUUCUCAGAAAUUAAAACACAAUUUGGUAAGUUGNNNNNNNNNNNNNUUAUACAUAUCUUUGUGUACCUACAGACUUACCCACAGACAGAGAGACAGCAAGACACACGUAUGAAUGUGUGUUUGUACAACUUGUUUUGCCUCGUGGCUUCGUGGUUAUUUUUUUGAAUGCCUCAAAAGGUUUGUUAUGCGGCGCGCCCCAAAAAAGAUAUAGAAAUAAUGUUACCAACACCAACAACAACAACAUCGCAUUCACUUUAUGGGCAGCACCACGCACAAGUUGUUGUUGUUGUUGUUAUUAAUCCCAUAAAGUUUAUUAAGUAAUCCAAUUUGGUUAAAUUAGCUGUGUCUCGUUUCUUCGUUAUUUCGGAUUUUAAUUGAGUUUCAGUUUCAGUUUCAGUUUCGGUUUUGGCUUUGCCUGGAGUCGCAGUUGGAGUUGGAGUUGGAGUUGGAUCCCCCUCCUGCCCAAGGGCUUCUCUCUUGUUGCGCUCAUUAUCGAAGUAUCAGAGUCUCACCGCUCACCAAUCACCAAUCACUGAUCGAUGGCCAGCAUAAUGCAAAUUGUCAAGGCAGGAAUUCUUCUCUUGAUGCUCGCUCAUCCUCAAAGCCAGAGGGCUGAGGGCAUUGCAGAGUUCAAGAUCGGCGUGGAUCGGGACGUGCCAUAUCGGCGAGUGUUCCCUCCAUAUCUCGGUGUUCUGUUUAAUGUGUGUUUCCUGGAAGAUUAAUACGGCAAAAUUAAGGAAAAUAAAUAAAUGUCAACGCUGUACAA